rnacentral:rRNA from 1 species
GAUGAACGCUGGCGGCGUGCCUAAUACAUGCAAGUCGAGCGAACAGACGAGGAGCUUGCUCCUUUGACGUUAGCGGCGGACGGGUGAGUAACACGUAGGUAACCUACCUAUAAGACUGGGAUAACUUCGGGAAACCGGAGCUAAUACCGGAUAAUAUUUCGAAACGCAUGGUUCGAUAGUGAAAGAUGGCUUUGCUAUCACUUAUAGAUGGACCUGCGCCGUAUUAGCUAGUUGGUAAGGUAAUGGCUUACCAAGGCAACGAUACGUAGCCGACCUGAGAGGGUGAUCGGCCACACUGGGACUGAGACACGGUCCAGACUCCUACGGGAGGCAGCAGUAGGGAAUCUUCCGCAAUGGGCGAAAGCCUGACGGAGCAACGCCGCGUGAGUGAUGAAGGUCUUCGGAUCGUAAAACUCUGUUAUUAGGGAAGAACAAACGUGUAAGUAACUGUGCACGUCUUGACGGUACCUAAUCAGAAAGCCACGGCUAACUACGUGCCAGCCGCCCCGUAAAAC